rnacentral:rRNA from 1 species
UUUGAUCCUGGCUCAGGACGAACGCUGGCGGCGUGCUUAACACAUGCAAGUCGAACGAUGAAGCGGUGCUUGCACCGUGGAUUAGUGGCGAACGGGUGAGUAAUACGUGAGUGACCUACCUUUGACUCUGGGAUAAGCCUGGGAAACUGGGUCUAAUACCGGAUACGACCAAUCUCUGCAUGGGGUGUUGGUGGAAAGCGUUAUGGAGUGGUUUUAGAUGGGCUCACGGCCUAUCAGCUUGUUGGUGAGGUAAUGGCUUACCAAGGCGACGACGGGUAGCCGGCCUGAGAGGGUGACCGGCCACACUGGGACUGAGACACGGCCCAGACUCCUACGGGAGGCAGCAGUGGGGAAUAUUGCACAAUGGGCGCAAGCCUGAUGCAGCGACGCCGCGUGAGGGAUGACGGCCUUCGGGUUGUAAACCUCUGUUAGCAUCGAAGAAGCGAAAGUGACGGUAGGUGCAGAGAAAGCGCCGGCUAACUACGUGCCAGCAGCCGCGGUAAUACGUAGGGCGCGAGCGUUGUCCGGAAUUAUUGGGCGUAAAGAGCUUGUAGGGCGGUUGGUCGCGUCUGCUGUGAAAGGCCGGGGCUUAACUCCGGUUUUGCAGUGGGUACGGGCUAACUAGAGUGCAGUAGGGGAGACUGGAAUUCCUGGUGUAGCGGUGGAAUGCACAGAUAUCAGGAGGAACACCGAUGGCGAAGGCAGGUCUCUGGGCUGUAACUGACGCUGAGAAGCGAAAGCAUGGGGAGCGAACAGGAUUAGAUACCCUGGUAGUCCAUGCCGUAAACGUUGGGCACUAGGUGUGGGGGACAUUCCACGUUUUCCGCGCCGUAGCUAACGCAUUAAGUGCCCCGCCUGGGGAGUACGGCCGCAAGGCUAAAACUCAAAGGAAUUGACGGGGGCCCGCACAAGCGGCGGAGCAUGCGGAUUAAUUCGAUGCAACGCGAAGAACCUUACCAAGGCUUGACAUGCAUUAGAUCGCGUCAGAGAUGGCGUUUCCCUUCGGGGCUGGUGUACAGGUGGUGCAUGGUUGUCGUCAGCUCGUGUCGUGAGAUGUUGGGUUAAGUCCCGCAACGAGCGCAACCCUCGUUCUAUGUUGCCAGCGGUUCGGCCGGGGACUCAUAGGAGACUGCCGGGGUCAACUCGGAGGAAGGUGGGGAUGACGUCAAAUCAUCAUGCCCCUUAUGUCUUGGGCUUCACGCAUGCUACAAUGGCCGGUACAGAGGGUUGCGAUACUGUGAGGUGGAGCUAAUCCCUUAAAGCCGGUCUCAGUUCGGAUUGGGGUCUGCAACUCGACCCCAUGAAGUCGGAGUCGCUAGUAAUCGCAGAUCAGCAACGCUGCGGUGAAUACGUUCCCGGGCCUUGUACACACCGCCCGUCA